rnacentral:rRNA from 1 species
AAUCAACGCUGGCGGCGUGCCUCAGACAUGCAAGUCGAACGAGAAAGUUUCCUUCGGGAGACGAGUACAGUGGCGUCCGGGUGAGUAACACGUGGGUAAUUUACCUUGGGUGGGGAAUAGCAGCCGGAAACGGCUAUUAAUACCGCAUAAUGCAGCGGCUCGACAUCGAGACAGUUGUUAAAGCGGGGAUCUGACAAGGACCUCGCG